UUUUCUUAUCACAAAGUUAGUUCGUCUUUGUGUAUGUUUAAAUUUAUAUUUUUUUAUAGUUAUUGUGCUGUUUAACUUUCUUAUAAAAGAGAGUGAGGAAUUAAAAAGGUGGCCACCGAACAGAAAGUUAAACUGCAAUAUACUAUAAUCUUUUUAGUUCAUGUUUACAUUUUUAACUGAUACAUUAUGAAUAUAAAAUUUCAAAUUAAUUUAAAUUCAAAAAUAAAAGAACACCAACAUAGAUUUCUUAAACAUUAAAAUUUUACUAUAAAUUUAAAUUACAUUUAAUCAGCACAUUAGUUGAAGUUUUAUAGGAACCGAACAUUUGGCUGGAUCAUGGACUACCCACCGACGGAGAAUUUGUCAUUGAGCUGAAGGAAAAUGUGUCAGCACUCGGCUUCGUUUCAACCCGGAGGAAGAUUGGCAGCAUUAAUAAGAAGCUCAUCUUAAUGUCAACUGUCCAAAUGAAGAAGAAUUUGUCAUUGAGCUGAUGGAAAAUGUGUCAGCACUCGGCUGUAUUUCAACACGGAGGACGUCUAGCAGCAGCAAAAAGAAAUUCAACUGAUAAUCAACUGUCCAAAGGAUUUUGAAGAAGAAUUUGUCACAAAGCUGAUGGGAAAUGUGUCGGCACUCGGCUUCGUUUCAACCCGGAGGAAGAUUGGCAGCAUCAAAAAGAAGCUCAUCUUAAUUUAGUUGUCCCCCCCUUUACGCAUUA